AUGUUGAGCCCUCGUGCUGAUGUCAUCCCAGUUGUCAUGGUUACAGGUGAACAAGCUGCUGGAAGUGCAAAAUCAGCGCCGGGCUCCAAGGGGAAGGGAGGAUGGAGGGGGGAACCUGGGGAGGAACCUGGUGCUGGAAGUGAGCGAGCAGAAACAGCUGCCAUCCCCAGGUUUGAGGACUCUACUGUGACCCUGGCAUGCACUCUCUCAAGCACCCUCUGCUUGAAACAGUCCAACGAGGCUGAUUUGGAGCCCUCUCAGAUAUGUCUGUCGGCUGAGGAAUGUGCUGAACAGGCUGACCAACAGAAGUGCUCAUUUUUUCUGUCAUUCAGAAAUUGUGAAGCUCUGUAG
rnacentral:lncRNA from 1 species